GGAGGGGCUGGGCCUGAGCCUGGAGGGAAAGUCUGAUUUUCAACGCUUAGGCAUGCCAAACGGUUUACUUUCAGAUGUUUUCUUCUUCCCUCUUACUGGCUGGUCCCUCCCUCCCUUCCCAGGUCACUUAAAAGACAUUCCCUCAAGAGCAAAGAGAAAAGACAUCCCAUCAAGGACGAAGAGCGGAGACAUCCCAUCAAGAGCAAAGGAGAAGUGAUGGAAGAGUUGAGUGUCAAACCCCAGCAACGUCAUCACAUUUAAUCCUUCUGAGGCCUGGCCUCAAGACUCCUCCAGACUCGUACAGCCUCUCCUCCCACUGCCAGGCUCCCCGUGUUGGCCGCAGUGUGGCACGGAGUGCCUGCGCUAUUUAUUUCCUAAUAAAAAGACAGCCUGGGUGGCCCAUGGAGAUUAAGACAGAGAUCUACUAUGAGAUGAUUAACCAUAAAAUCACAGACUGUUUCUCCAUAUAUCCAAUGCAGAGCCCCGACGGGGAGCUUCUUGCUUGGCACAGGUGAAGGAGCGUGGCCUGUGGCACCGGAUGGGCUGGGGCUUGGAGUCCGGUGUGGCUGUGUCCUGGGGUGGCCUCGGGCAGGUCACUUCUCCAAGGUCAGUUUUCUCCCUACCGGGAUAAUGGUAACAAAGGUGAUGACUGCAAUGAUGAUGAUGAUGGUGAUGGUGGACGACGGUGCUGGUGUGAGGGCUGGCAUUUCCUGGGGGCUUCCCUACACUUCAAUACAUGUUGAAAAACACCACUUGAUUCUAUGUUGAAAAACACCACUUGCUUCAGGG
rnacentral:lncRNA from 1 species